rnacentral:lncRNA from 1 species
AUUGCAGACGCGCCUGAUGGAGGUGGCGACGGGACGGGGAAGAAGAACGGGAAGCAGGUACAGCGUGAAUCAGUGAAACUCUGCGUGAACUCUGCGGUGUUUGUUCUUCUUCACCUGUGUUUGUGUCUCUGUUGAUCUUUCAGACUCUGGGAAGGAAACUGAAACACUCGCUGCUGAUCAGGAGGAGCUCAAAGGUAAAAGACAGGACAAGUGUGUCAUUUAUCCACACAUCUUUCUAAAAAUUAAACAUGGACUGGGAAUUUUCCAUCAGGACAUUACCUGUUUAGGAACAAUUCCUUUAACACUAAAACACAGCACAGUGUACAGAAACAUACAUAUUGCCUCAGAAUAAAAAUAUUAAAAAAGUAUUUGUACCUUUUUAACUCACAGUUUAUAUCUCACAAUUAAUAACUCACAAUCGUAAGAUAUAAGCUUAUAGAAGCUUGCCUCUGCCCCAAGAAAUGCAAAAAAGCAAGAAAGAAAGAAAGAAAGAAGGCAAGAAAAUGGCAGCAUUAAAUCUCACAAAUGAUAUAUUUUCCUCACAUUGCUGAUAUUUUUUUCUCAUAAUUGCAAGUGAAAAGUCUGAUUUGUGAGAAAUAAACUCAGAUAUGCAAUAAAAUUAAUUCAGAAUUGCAAGUUUAAAAAGUCUGAGUCAUGAGAAAUGAACUUAGAAUUUUGAGAAAUAAACUGUGAGAGAAAGUUCUGAGACUGUGAGAUAUUAACUUCAGACAAAAGUCUGAACUGUACGAUACAAAGUUACAAUUACCUUUUUUAUACUUUAUACUGUGUCGGAGACAAGCUUCCAUAACAAUGUAAUGUGUAAUGAAAUAACACAGAAAAACUCAAUAUCUGUGAUAAGAAGCACUUUAUAUUUUCAUUGAACACUUUUAGUGAUGCGUCCAGAUAAAUGAUCGUUAAUACUACACACAGGAGACUUGUUCUCGUGAAUUGUAUUACUAUUGGCUGAUGGGAUAAUGAUUUAUAAUGUGUGUCAUUAUGUUGUUAACGUAUUACAGCUUAUUUGAUGAUGAUGUUCAUUCACAUCUUCAGGUGAAAUCUGCUGAAGCUUCAGCUAAAGUCACUCCAGACUAUAAGGAUGAUUUACCGUCCUCAUCGAAACACGCGGAUCUCGUGGCUUUGGGAGAGAAGAAAGCAGAAGAUGUGGACUGCAAACCGAAGCAGCUGCAGAAAUUCAAGCCUCCCGUGCCACGGCGACCAUCAAAGGAUAUGUCUGCAGUUGCUCUAAAAUCGAUGAGUGGUCCUCCUCUGAUGGCGGCAAAGGUAUUUUCACUGGCCUUUUGCAGAUAUUUUUUGCCACGCAUAGUGAAGACAAACCAGAAAAGAUAG